AGUGGCUGUAGCCCACGAAAGCUUAUGCUCAAAUAAAUUUGUUAGUCUCUAAGGUGCCACAAGUACGCCUGUUCUUUUUGCGGAUACAGACUAACACGGCUGCUACUCUGAAACCUUUUAAGACAGAGGCUCUGAGCUACUGAUGGCUUUGGAUCCAAAAGCAAGCCAGAAAGCACCUGUGUUGAUGCAAAUUACCUAAUUGAUAGAGGAAGGAGAGAACUACCCAUAAAUGGCAGCACAAAGGAGCCACAGAUAAAGGACAUACCUGAAAAUCAGGAAAAGUUGGUAGCAGCUGAAGAGCAACCCAGAAUACCAGGAAUCUACUGCCUUUUCCCCUGAAAAUGAUCCGGAGUGCUUCUUAUAAGCAUAACACUCUGGGCAAGAGCCUCAGAGCUGAGAACACAGACCUGUGCUGCCUUCACAUAUGGUCCUAUAGCAAAGCGAGGGUCCUGGAGCAGCAGGAGGCAGAGAGUCAGGAAAGUGGUGCUGCUGGGACUGGGUAGAGGAGUGGUGGAACCAAGGAAGCAGUGCCAGUGGGUGAUUUGGGAGUCAAUCUCAUGAUUUGUGGGGGGGUCUGACUCAGGAUUUUUUAACUCUUGCAGUUGGCAAUUGGGAGAGAGCUAGUGCUAUCUGACCAAAGCCACAUAAUACCCUGCACCUCACAGCAGCCAGAAGUCAGGGUGACAUUAUCUCCCCCUCUCCCCCAGCUGACAGUUGCAGUGAAUGUACAUGUGCAUUUUCCUCCUAAUGACAUUCUUGUGUCCAUUGCAGUUGAUGCCGCCUUGUCCAUGCAGCCAGCAACACUCCCUGAAGACUCAGUCAGUGUGAGAUUCCCUUCCCCACCCCAAACAUCUUUAAAUUAGCUGAUCUUGUUACACACAGAGGCCCGCCUCCUUUGUGCCCUUCUCUGUGUAACUGCCCUAGUUUUGGUUUACUGAGCACAAGAUAAAGACUAACUUUGUUUAUACAUGCCAGUCCCCCCGUCCCCUCCCACAUAGCACCUGAUUGCAGCCUGCCUACCCCCACAACACUGUCACAGAGCGUCUCCUGCUGGGAGUGGAGAACCACAGAGCUCCCUUUCACUCUUUUCCUCAGUGUGCAUUUGCUGCUGGGAACAGCAUCACUGCAUUCCCACGCAGCUAAAGGAAUGGUGUCCCUAGCCUCUGUUUGUCACAGGGUGGAGAUGGAUGGUAGGAGAGAGAUCACUUGAUCAUUACCUGUUAGGUUCACUCCCUCUGGGGCACCUGGUAUUGGCCACUGUCGGCAGACAGGAUACUGGACUGGAUGGACCUUUGAUCUGACCCAGUAUGGCCAUUCUUAUGUUCUUAUGGCUGACAGCCUCAUUCCUCCUCCAGGGAAUGGCUGGGCAUCGGCACAUCCUCAAGUCAUUCUGCCCAGUCCUGCCUACAAGGGACAGCAGAGAUGGAAAGAGUUUCACAUAGCCCACUCCAGCUCCCUCACUGCCUAUGGGAAAAAGCUCCGCCAUCCCUCCUCUUGUUCAUUCCCGGCUGCAGGAGGUCAGAAUGAAGACAUCUCUGUUCAGGACACCCUACAGUGACUCCCGCUAGAAGAAAUAGAUUAGCUCUGGUUUCCACCACCACCAUUCCUCUGCCAUGUACAGUACUCAGUGAUGGGAGAGACUGGGACAGCAGCAGCACCAUCGCCUAUCAAUUCCUCCCGUCCACAAAAUGGCUGACAAACCAGGCUCACAGAGCAGGAAGGAUUGGAGGAUCUGGUGGGUCACGGGACAAAGUUUUUGGCCAUUUCGUAGGUCAUGGACAAAACAAAAUUGAGUCACUGUCCUGCCAUGACCCCUACUGGUGGGACUAGCUUAGCAUUUCCCCACUCCCCUGAACAGGAGACACCAGGCUAGAGAAACAGAACAUUAUCCCUAUUGCCAAAGGAUGGCUUAGAUUGGAAGACUCCAUUCCUCCAACGAUUGUCCCCAGUGUCUGACUCCUGGUGGGAGAGGCAAGGACAGUUCUGAGCUCAUCCCAGCUUGCACUCAAGCAGGUUUUCUAGGAGGCAGUGCCACCUAGUGGUUAGAGUGGGGGUACUGGGAACAGAAUUCUUGGCUGGGCUAGGGUUUCUUGCUGGAGAUAGGGGAGGGUAACAAAUAUUCUGGUUACAGUGGAAAAAGCAUCAAAGAGGAGGGUCUUGCAUUGUGCCUUAUACAGAGAGUCAAAACUUUUGCCUGGGAGCUAGUGCGGGGACUCCUUGUGACAUGGAGGCCCAGUAGUGCCAGCUGUCAAGGGAUGGGCAGGGAUGUUAUGUAAAAGACUAGGGCCUAGGUCCUUGGGACCAGCCAAGGCUGCAAAAGACGAACUUUUGGGUUAGAAUCUAUUAGCUACAAAAGAUAAUAAUUUAUAAGGGUGGGCCAUAGUUUGUGUUUUAGGAUUUGGGUUUCUAAUUGACCAUUUGUUUCCAUCACUUGCCCUUGUUUCUAUUUGAAUCUUUUUAAAAUACAUUUCCUUUUGUUUUACUACAA